rnacentral:rRNA from 1 species
AUUGAACGCUGGCGGCAGGCCUAACACAUGCAAGUCGGACGGUAGCACAGAGGGGCUUGCUCCUCGGGUGACGAGUGGCGGACGGGUGAGUAAUGUCUGGGGAUCUGCCCGAUAGAGGGGGAUAACCACUGGAAACGGUGGCUAAUACCGCAUAACGUCGCAAGACCAAAGAGGGGGACCUUCGGGCCUCUCACUAUCGGAUGAACCCAGAUGGGAUUAGCUAGUAGGCGGGGUAACGGCCCACCUAGGCGACGAUCCCUAGCUGGUCUGCGAGGAUGACCAGCCACACUGGAACUGGGACACGGGCCAGGCUCCUACGGGAGGCAGCAGUGGGGAAUAUUGCACAAUGGGCGCAAGCCUGACGCAGCCAUGCCGCGUGUAUGAAGAAGGCCUUCGGGUUGUAAAGUACUUUCAGCGGGGAGGAAGGCGACGUGGUUAAUAACCGCAUUGAUUGACGUUACCCGCAGAAGAAGCACCGGCUAACUCCGUGCCAGCAGCCGCAGUAA